AGUUCCCCCUUUAUUGUGGGCCCUCCUCAGUGCCAACAUUGCUUUGUCUCUCGCUGGAGAAGCCUGUGAGAACGAGGAUGGGCAAAGUGUCAGGCUCUUGGUGCAGCUGAAAAUCCUUUGAGAUGGAAGAAAUGGCUGGAACAAAGGGGCAGAGGAACAAAAAGCCCUGAACUGCUUCGCCCCUGCCUCGUGGGGUCUUUAUCAUCUUAAACCUUGGGAUUUGGGCUUUGAUCAACUCGGCCUUCCUGGGCCUCGGGGAGAGAGACGGACUGCCUCCGGGUGCUCAUGACCUUUCCAGCAGUAAGCCAAUAAUGUAUGACUCCUGCGUUGCCGUUGCUCGUUUGAGAGAUAAGCCACAUUUUUUGCUGUGAGAUCAACACACUCCUUUCUAAGUUUUUGUCAAAAUCAUAACUUAUGAAAAGCAACUCUGGGGAUGUUGACAAAACUGGAAAAACAGAUGUCUUGAGCCAACUGGGAUCAAUAUGAGCCGAGCAGAAGCUUGAGAAACUCAGGAACAUCUGUCCAGUCCCUGGGAUGGUGAGGCUAUAACCACAAAGGAAUAAGAGAAGACGACUAGUUUUGUAAUGGGAUUUGCUCUCUUUUGAGGAUCAAGAGCCACAGAAUGCUAAAGGGAGGCAGAGUCUCGGAGGUCCCCUGUGAAGUGGGAAAUCACCUGGAUGCAGUGGGGCCCUUCAAGUGCAUCACCAAAAAAAACCAUCCCAGAAGGCACAGUGGAUUGAAGAGGGGGGCAGUGCUGAGUCAUUCACGUGGUGUGUGAGGGCUCCUGUUUGUAAAUCAGGGAUUCUUGCAGCCUGCUUUUUCAGGGACAUUGGCUGCUGUCUUCUGACCCACCCUGUGUGGCUUUGGCGUCUCCUGUGACCUCCCAGUAUGGGUCUUGGCCUCAUCCUGCCUCUUUGUCUUUCUGGCCCACCACCCACAGCUUGAAUCUCAGGCUCCAACAGUUGCCUGACCCCCAGAUUCUGAUGACAGCCUACCUACUUGUUCUUCAGGCCCUCACCAGACUCACUGCCCAGACACACCACACAGGAGAACAUGAAAGGGUGAAUGAAUCUUUCAUCAUUUGAUGACCAAGUUGGCAUUCUUUUACAUUCCAGCCACCAGAGGAAGGUGUAUUUUAACACAAUUGCCCUCACAUCCUCCUUAACAGGAUUUACAUAAGUUUAUUAACACAUAUGUUUCUACAAAA
ensembl:lncRNA novel transcript